CCUACGGGAGGCAGCAGUGGGGAAUAUUGCACAAUGGGGGAAACCCUGAUGCAGCGACGCCGCGUGAGUGAAGAAGUAUUUCGGUACGUAAAGCUCUAUCAGCAGGGAAGAAAAUGACGGUACCUGACUAAGAAGCCCCGGCUAACUACGUGCCAGCAGCCGCGGUAAUACGGAGGGGGCAAGCGUUAUCCGGAUUUACUGGGUGUAAAGGGAGCGUAGACGGCAGCGCAAGUCUGGAGUGAAAUCCCAUGGCUUAACCAUGGAACUGCUUUGGAAACUGUGCAGCUAGAGUGCAGGAGAGGUAAGCAGAAUUCCUAGUGUAGCGGUGAAAUGCGUAGAUAUUAGGAGGAACACCAGUGGCGAAGGCGGCUUACUGGACUGUAACUGACGUUGAGGCUCGAAAGCGUGGGGAGCAAACAGGAUUAGAUACCCCAGUAGUC
rnacentral:rRNA from 1 species